rnacentral:lncRNA from 1 species
CUUAAUUGUUUUACUAAUAGUAGCAUAAUGACUAAUGAACUAGAAAUAAACAGAUGAUUCACAAUUAAAACUUUAAAUGUACAAAGCAAAAAAAAAAAAGAAAUCUCACUUCACACUUGUUAUUAUAAAGAAUAUAUAUAAAGCAGAAAAUUAAAGCUUGUGUCAAAACGAAAGCUGUCUAUAAAAUUUAUAAAUGUCGUACUACAAUAAAAGCAGUGUUUGUUGAAUAUAUUGUCAUUUGAAAUAUCUUUGAUCAGGGUUCGUACACCUUCAUAAUUUAAAAAAUCCAGGGUUUUCCAGGACUCUUUUCAUCCUUUUUCCAGGGGUUUUCCAGGGGCAUUUGAAAUAUAAAUCUAUAAGUGUUUACUGUUGUUCCAAUUGAAGUGUUGCUCAAAUAUUGAUUCAAUACAUUACCUUGGGCUGACCAAUUCAUUUCAUCAAGUUCCUCAAGAUAUUCAUACACUUCCUGUGAAAGAGCCAAUUCCAAUUCUAUUCUAUUCUAGAGCCAAUUCCAACUCUAUUCUAUACUCAAUUCUAUAUUACAAAAUCUACAAUCUAUAUAUUAUAUCUACAAUCUUAAUUUAGUUGGGCACCCAUUUAUAGAAAAUCAUAAAUUAAAACAAAAAUCCUAAAUCAUGCCUCCUAAAAACUUAUUCAAAUUCAAGAACUCUAUUAUUUUCUAUAUUACAAAAUUACAAUCUAUACAUUAAUUAAUUAGAAAAUCAUAAUUUAUAGAAAAUCAUCAAUAAAAAUAAAACAAAAAUUCUAAAUCAUCCCUGGCUCCCUGCUGAAAACUUAUUCAAAUUCCUAUCAACAUAUAGCAUGUAGUUGUCAGAAGCAUAUUUUGUGAUAUGUUUAUACAGCAACAUUUGCAUUUUGCCUGUUCUAAUUGUGCAUCAUUGUUACAUAUUAACCAGUCUGCCAUAUUGUUCAUUUGUUACACUCCGCCAUAUUGUUUCCUCUUAAUUUGGACUUACUUUGUUCCUAAUCGCAGGACCCCCCCCCCUCCCCUCAUUGAUAUUAGGUGUAAAAAAAUACCUGUGGUUCCAUUUCCCGACCGACCCUAUUAUUUUUUUCAACGCGAUUGACCGUGCAACCUUUUUUUCUCUGGGUGAUCGCGGGCUGCUGCCAAAAUGGUGUCUCUUGUCACACUAAUUAUUGAAAAAACUAUGAAAAAAAUACUCCAAAAAAAUUUAUUUCCGACCUACCGUCCCUAAUUUUUUCGCGAUAUGAACCAGAACCACAGGUAUUUUUUUACGCCUUAUUAUAAAUAUCCACUAACCUUACAACAUUUUCUUUCAUACCAUUUUAUCCAUUAGUAUUGCACAUUUGCCCAAUAUCUCCCUCAUUAUGUUGCACAUUUGCCCAAGAUAUCCCUCAUGGUGUUGCACAUUUACCCAAUAUAUCCCUCAUGGUAUUGCACAUUUGCCCAAGAUAUCCCUCAUGGUGUUGCACAUUUGCCCAAGAUAUCCACCAAGAUAAUGCACAUUUGCCCAAGAUAUCCACCAAUACUCUUCAAUGAUGUGGUAAGGUGGGGGUAAUUUCACAUUUGGUAUUGAAAAAAGGGUUGGGGUCCGAUCCUGAGGGGUCUAAUGCGUGGAUUUCACGCUUGAUGCCUUAUCCUAAGCUAGUCGAGUUUAUCUCACUCGCUCAUGUUGGUCUUAACUAAAACCUAAGAGACCUAAUGCGCUUGUAAAUAUUUAAAUGUGCAAGUCCUAGCAAGAUACCCACAAUUACAUGCCACCAUUUUAACAGUCGGAAACUUUUAGCAUGUAGUUUAAAAACACUAUAUAUAUACUUGUGUAAAACUACUGCAUAUUUUUAUAAAAUGUAGUACAUCCCUAAGCCAUGAACAACACUUUAUACUUGCCUUUCAUCGUAACUAGAACACACAUGGGCAGUGAAUCUUAGGUUUUUCUAAAUUUGAAAUGUCAAUAAACUGUGCUGUCUAUUUCAGAAGUAAUAUUUCAAAUCCGAGUUAGUGUUUUAGACGUGGUUUCUAAAUACAAGUGCCAUGAACAAUGGCGAGGCGCAGCCGAGCCAUUGUUCAUGGCACUGGGGAUUUGGAAGCCAAGUUUAAAACACUAACGAGGAUUUGAAAUUGCUUCUCACACAUCAUUAGACUUUCAUAGCAAUGAGGCAUGAAAUUAUUAGAUAUUCAAAAAAGUGAGCGUGGGCAUUUAACGAUUACAUUCGCUUGAAAGUUUGCAUGAAGUGCAACGAAGCAUUCAGUUCGCUUUCGUCGUGAAUAGAUUAUUUUGUUGGCAAAAGAGCAUGGUAUCUUCUUUUAAUAAAAGAAAAAGCGGUUUCGAGAACCAGAAAGUGUUGAGCACAGCAUUGUGCACAGUAUUGUCGCUCGGCUGACAAGGUUGGGGAUCCGAAAAACGAUAUAUCAGAUUGUUUGUGCGAUAAGGCGCUAUCUGGUGGAAAAUGAAAGAGCCGAAGUGAAUAUAUAUUUUAUAGACGGUAAACAUUACUGGUAAAUUGCUGUAUUAUAUAUAGUGUUUAAAGCGCUGUUUAUUAUGAUAGCUGGUAAAAAAGUUGGUUUUCCUAUAUUUAUGUAGUUUUCAAACGUUUAGGAAAAGUGUUAGCUAUAAAGUGUAGUUAGAAUAAAUUUCUAAAUACAACUUACUGUAUUUAGAAAUAAUUCUAAACAUAGCAAUUCAAUAUAUUUGCAUAAUCUUUUGUUUACGCCUCAAUUUCCCUAUUGUUCAAAGCCCUUCUCACUUGAAGUAAUUAAAGUCCUGGUCUAGACGGGGUAUCCAGAUAGAUACACGUGAUGUAAAUUAAACCAUGUCAUUGGCCGAAAUGCUAUGAAUAUCUAAUGAUGUAUGAGAAGUUUAAUAUUAAGCAUAUAGCAUUGCAAUAUAGUAUGUAGAUGUCAUCCUUACAAAAAUGACAUAAAAAAGUCUAAAACAUAGAGUGAUAGUAAUAGCUGUCCCAUAUAGAAACAGCAGUGAAGUAAUUUGGAAAGUCAAUCGAAAAGUACAGUUGACUGAAAAGUACAGGCAUCCCUGAAUGUAGUAAACCAAGUUUUAGUAAUAGCAAGCUGCCUUUAUAGAAACAGCACCCAAAAUGUUUUAUUUGAAAAAUAAUUGAAAUUUUUUUUAGGCUAAGGCAUAUAUAGCCAUAGCAAGCUGCCCUUUAUAGAAACAGCACCGAAAUAACAUCACAACUUUAUUAGAUAUCCCAUGAUACCUGUAGCACUUCCAGCCAUUCAACACAGAAAAACAGUACACCCAAAAAGUGGCGCCUUUCUUUUUACAUGUACUGCUUUUGUUCAUGCUGAAUGAUUGGAAGUCUCACAGAGACCUUGGAAAAAUAAUAAAACUGAAAUGGCACUGCCCAUGCAAACAGCUUUCAAAUCUCAAAAUUUUCAAAACAUUUCUUACUGGUGAAAUGGUAGCAUGUAAAAUGGAGUCUAAGGCCACAUAAAAAAAUAGUUGGUUAGCAUCUUCGCCCGCCCACAAAAAAGGCCCCGCUCAAGAUUUUUUUUUAUUUUUUAUUUUAAAAAAACCCAACUUUUAUUGAUCAACAGGUUCUAAUAUAGGUAGUAUUUCUGUUGACUGUAGUCAAUUGUGUUAAUAAGUGGCAAAAUUGCGUGCAAAAAUGACGGUAUGAAUCAUAUUUUGAAAUAUAUAAAAAAAUAUCUGUACUGCGCAUGAAAAUCCAGUUUCGGACCUAAAACCAAGGCGUUAAAAAAUUAGUAAAAAUUUUAAAAC